GCCUGGGUGGCUCAGUGGGUUAAGCAUCUGACUUCAGUUCAGGUCACGAUCUCGCAGUGUUUGGGUUCGAGCCCCCCGUCAGGCU
rnacentral:tRNA from 1 species